rnacentral:rRNA from 1 species
AUGAGCGGCGCAGCCUACAGGGACCGGGGAUUCGGCGGCGCCGCGGAGAUGGACCGGAAGCGCAUCAAGGAGGCGCUCGAGAAGCACACGGAGAGGCCGUCCCCGUCCACCUCCAGGGGGGCGUCCAGGGAGAAGGAGCUGCUCGCCGCCGGCAAGAUAACCACUCAGAUCGGCAAGGUCCCCAAGGUCUCCGACGUCGAGGAAUUCGAAACUGACAGUGAAGAUUCUGAUGUUAGUGGUUCUGAAGGAGAGGACACAUCUUGGAUUUCAUGGUUCUGUAGCUUGCGAGGCAACGAAUUCUUCUGUGAGAUUGAUGAUGAUUAUAUACAGGAUGAUUUCAAUCUCUGUGGCCUAAGCAGUCAGGUGCCAUAUUAUGAUUAUGCACUUGAUCUCAUCCUAGACAUUGAGUCUUCUAAUGGUGAUGUAUUCACUGAGGAGCAAAAUGAAUUAAUUGAGUCAUCUGCAGAGAUGCUGUAUGGUUUAAUUCAUGCACGUUACAUCUUAACCAGCAAGGGUCUAGCUGCAAUGUUAGAGAAGUUCAAGAACUAUGAUUUUGGCAGAUGCCCUCGAGUAUACUGCUGUGGUCAACCCUGUCUUCCAGCAGGGCAAUCAGACAUUCCUAGGUCAAGCACAGUGAAGGUGUUUUGUCCAAAAUGUGAAGAUUUACACUAUCCAAGGUCCAAGUACCAAGGCAACAUUGAUGGAGCAUACUUUGGUACGACAUUCCCUCAUCUCUUCUUGAUGACAUACCCACACCUGAAGCCACAGAAGCCAUCACAGCAAUAUGUUCCAAGAGUUUUUGGCUUCAAACUUCACAAGCAAUCAUGA